rnacentral:lncRNA from 1 species
GCAUCCGAUAGGGUCUCUAGGAUAUCGGUGCGGUGCCGGGGAUCAACUCUAUGGAAAACUCCACCUCUCUAUCAGGUGGCAUGCCAGGCAAGUCUUCGGGGAACACGUCAGGGUACUUACAGACAACAGGGAGGCUUUCUAGUCGGGCUUCCAAUAGAGGGUACGCACAAGGGAGUGCGGACUUAGGAUGUUUCAAGGAUAGGGUAGAACUGCCAUGGAAGGGUGAGUUGAUGUGGAGAGUUCGGGCGGCUGUAUCUAGAACCACUUGGUGUCUGGCCAUCCAAUCCAUCCCGAGGAUGAUAUCUAUUCCUUCUAGGUCAAGGAUGAUAAGAUUCUCCUUGAAAAGAGUUGGGCCUAGCUGGAGAGGUACAAGAGUAACGAUCUGAUCCGAGGCUAUCUUCCCUCCUGGAGUGGCGAUCACAUAGGAUUCCUUAGUGUGACCGACAUCCAGCUCACAUCUUU